GGUGAGGUGGCCGAGUGGUUGAAGGCACUGGUCUUGAAAACCAGCAGGCGUUAGCGCGUCUCGUGGGUUCGAAUCCCACCCUCACCGCCA
rnacentral:tRNA from 1 species